rnacentral:RNase_P_RNA from 1 species
CCAGACGGCCGGGCAGCCGCUGGUACGCCGGUAACGGCGUACUGGAGGAAAGUCCGGGCUCCGGGGAUACAGGGCGACGGCUAACGGCCGCCCGGCGCAAGCCGAGGGAAAGUGCCACAGAAAGCAAACCGCCCCUCUUCGGAGGGGUAAGGGUGAAAGGGUGGGGUAAGAGCCCACCGCGGGACUGGCGACAGGACCGGCACGGCAAACCCCGCCCGGAGCAAGACCGAAUAGGGGGCGCAUAUGGGCCGUAUCCCGCCCGCGCCCCGGGUGUGUCGCGUGAGGGGACCAGCAAUGGUCCUCCCAGAGGAAUGGCUGCCAGACCCCGCAAGGGGCGAACAGAACCCGGCUUACAGGCCGUCUGGUCAC